UUUACUAUUGUAUUGGAUUUAAAAAAAGAGAAGAAAUUUGAAAGAAAUUCAAAAAAAUCAAAAAAAGGAAAAAAAAGAAGUGACAAAAAAAUCGAGUUAAAAAAAAGAAGAAAGAAAAAAAAAGUGAAAAGUCUUGCGAGUUUUUAUCAUUAUCACUUAUUACUUCGAUCAUCAAGUUUCCCUUCCUACCAUUAUUUACCCAUCCCAACGCCACAUUUUAAACCAAUUUUCUUCUUUGUUCAACCUCCCUACACCCG
rnacentral:lncRNA from 1 species